rnacentral:rRNA from 1 species
UACAGAGGGGGCAAGCGUUGUUCGGAAUUACUGGGCGUAAAGGGCGCGUAGGCGGCCUUCUAAGUCGAACGUGAAAUCCCCGGGCUCAACCCGGGAACUGCGUCCGAUACUGGAAGGCUUGAAUCCGGGAGAGGGAUGCGGAAUUCCAGGUGUAGCGGUGAAAUGGCGUAGAUAUCUGGAGGAAUACCGGUGGCGAAGGCGGCAUCCUGGACCAUUACUGACGCUGAGGCGCGAAAGCUAGGGGAGCAAACGGG